rnacentral:lncRNA from 1 species
GGAUGGUUGUAAAAGAAUGAAAAUUUUUCGAUUUACGUGUAAUAUUAUUUUAUUGAAAAUUGUAUGGUUGAAAAUAGAAGAGAGAACAAUUUAAUUUGAUGAGAUGUAAUGGGGCUAAACGAGGGAAAACUUCUACUUCUCACAUUAAUUGCAAUACCAACUUUAAAGGAAAAAGUCCUCUACACAGGCCCCUUUGCACAGGGUCUGUACAGGGGCUGUAACAUGAGGGUGGACCCCACAUGUGUACUACGUGUGUGGGGUCCACCUCCAUGUGUGUGCACCUAUACAUAUCAUGUGCAAAGAGGCUUGCGCAGGCAGCACAACUCAAUUUUAAAUAAAUAUAAUAUGCAAAUGAUUGCUACAUUUCCUAUACGCUUUAUGGCCGAAGAAGAUGCAAUUCAAAUUUUCAAUCUUUGCAUUAAAUGCAAAUCAAUGUUAGCAUUUAGCCCUCGUUUGACUCUCAUUCUUUUCAAAUUUUAAUGGUUGAAAUAGUGUUCUUUUGAAAAAUGCGUGGUUGAAAAAUAACAAAAAGUUUUUAAUUUGUGUGUAAUAUUAUUUUAUGGAAGAUUGUGUGAUUGAAAAUAAGAGAGAGAGAGAGAGAGAGAAAGAAUGAGAAGAAGAACGAGGGCUUAACACAUAAUGGAAUGCAUGAACAAUGUUAUCUCAUUUUUGUGAACAAACGUGGCUGCACAAUGAAAUUUAUGAGUAAUGUACAGGGCAUUACUCACAGAUGUUUUAUAAGGCUCAUCAUUGUGUAGGGGCCCCGCAUGUAUUUAAAAAAAAUUUUAAGUGGACCCCACGUAUAUGUGUGGCCACAGGUCCUGUAAGCCUAGUAUGGUUCAAAAUUUAUUUGGUCACACAUUUUUUUAAAGUCAAAAAGCUGCUUGCUUUGCUAACAUUUCUCAAAUGAAAGUCACUUUUGUUGUAACCUUUCUGUCCUUCCUACACUUGUUGUUUCCAUGCCACUUACGUUUUAGCUAGAUCAAUGGAUGAUCAACGGAUGAUCAACACCAUGUAAACUCAUCAAUACUAAUUUGCUUUGUUAAUAUAUCUGCUAGUUUGUCUUUUAUAUGGCUUUUCUAUAAAUCCAUACUUCUUUUUUACAGCAUAUUUUUUUUGAAAAAGGUGAUGCUGAACUCGAAUGUGCUUUAUCUUCGGGUGAAACGCUGGAUUUUUUGCCAGGUGCAAAGCUCUCUGACAAUCAUAAAAUAGAGCAAUCUUUUCUUGUUUGUGUUCGAGCUUCUCCAUGUACAUUUGCAACUAAAUUGCUUCUUUGUUAGCUUGUGUAGUUGCUAUAUAUUUUGUAUUUGUCGUAGAAGUAGUCAUGAUAAACUGCAUUUCUUCUUGGAGAAUUUGAAGAGAUUUAUAUGCUCAAACUCGAAGGUUUUAAAGAAAAAUGAAAAGAGAACUUGGCUUGUAGAUCGCACAAAUCUCUAUAAGGUUUCAAGCUUGCUUCGUGAUGUUGGCAUAAGAGAGUUGAUUCCUUCAUCAUGAGCCUUAGGUACAACAAACUUGAUAUAGAUCCUUGUGCUUACUGCAUGAUAUUGGAGAUAGUGAUUUCAUUAUUCUACUGUUGUAUAUUGACGACAUGUUGGUAGCAAGCCCAACAAUGAUCGUAACAAAGACUUGAAGGUAUAGUUUAGAGAGUUUGAAAUGAAGGACAUGGGACCAAUGAACAAGAUUCAAGACAGAGAUAAUGGGAAGAUUUGGCUAUGUCAAAAGAACUACUUGAAGGAGAUCUUACGUUGCUUCAAUAUGCAAGAUUGUAUGCCAAUUUCUAUUCCUCUACCUAUUAAUUUCAAGUUAUUUUGGAGUUUGAGUCCUAGCAACGAAGUAGAGAGGAUGGAGAUGUCUCGAGUAUUAUAUACAUCAACAGUGUGUAGCUUAAUGUUUGUUGUGAUUUGUACAAGAUCAGACAUUGCACUAGUAGUGGGAGUGUUGUAAAGAGGAUUUUGAGAUAUGUUAAGCGUACCUCAGAUGCUAUAUUAUGUUAUGGAGGAUAAGAUUUUACUGUCAGAGGUUAUGUUAAUUCAGAUUAUGCAGGUGAUCUUGAUAAAAGUAAGUCCACAACAUGUUAUGUGUUUACUCUUGCUGAAAGAGUUGGUUGCGG